rnacentral:lncRNA from 1 species
GGAAGGGAGGCUGGGUCUUACCGCGAAGGUCGGUGUCCGUUGAAGAUGGGUGAGAGUUUGCCGAAGCCAAGCACCCUCAGGAAGAGGAAGAGAGUACUUUGCAGGGAUUCGAGCAGCGAUCCGCGAGGUGAGACUGGACUCAAGACAUCUUAUUAGGGCUUGCUUGGUCGCCUUCUCAUUGAAACCCCAGGUCCGGAGAAGCUAACAGUCUUGAUGGAAAUCUGGGGCAAAGAACUGGGAGCCUCUAGCCAGCCCCCUCCGCGCUGCGCCGCAGUCGGAUCCCGGAGCGCUUCUGCGUAACGUCAGCGCGCCGGGUAAUUUACCUUUCCUGCGCGUCUGUCAAUAUGACUAAUUUCCACCCGGGUCAAAAAGCCUUUCUCCGGCAGUCCAUCUUGGAGCGCUCUCUUAACGCGGUAGACGGGGGUGGUUGUUUUGUUUCCACCCUAGAAAUAAAUACUCUUGGGGCGUCCCUGCCAGGGCAGCCCUGAGACGAGCAGGCGAAUAUACACCAUGUCAAUUAAAAGCAGUUUGCCUUGAA